rnacentral:lncRNA from 1 species
UUCCAUCUAGCCAGGCACAAACUUCAAGCACUGGGCCUGAUUCAGGACAAAUUGGCGGUGAUGCUCAUCUUAGUGGUGCUGGUAUGCCAGCCACAAGCUCUAUGGAGAAGCAAGAGGCAGAACCUCCUGCAGCAACACAAGCACCAACUCCCAAGGGUUUACAAGACACUGCAAAUAUCAAGUCACCAAGACAAACCUCAACUGAUCAAACCGUGACACCUGCGAUGAACUCAGCAGCACCGUCCAAUGCUCCUGAAGGUAUUGAACCAGGUGAGGCAAUGCCUGAUAAACAGAAAUUCACCCGACUAUUAAUUUCAGGUUAAUAUUCAGUAUGCAUAGUUCUGCUGCUAAUAAGGUUGUUCCUCACAUACAGGUCCAGAUUCUUCUCGAUCUGUACAGACCCCUUUCUCUACUGAGCCAACAAAAGAAGACACUAUUGCUACUGCAGGUGAUCAAGCCGAGGACAUGCAAACAGUGACUCAACAACAAGCCAUUACACCUGCUCCAGACACAGCUAAACCUACAUUCCCAGGUGCUCAGGAUGCAUCAAUGAAGUUUCAGGAAAGUAUUCCUGAUGAUGGGCCAGUGGAAAAUUAUUCUCCUAAGCCUGCAACACAGACACAGCCACCUUUAGCAACUCUAGAUGUAUCACCGGAUGCCUCAAGCAAGGCUAAAUCAACUGGGCAAGGAUCCAAGCCACCAACAAGGUACCAAGCAUCUUCUCCGGAAACUCAGCUUGGUUCCUCACAAACACAAGGUGAAGCUGCCCCAGCAGAACAAAAAUUUGCUGCAACAGGUAAUGUUUUAGUACGUUUCCUGUUGGUUAACUAAUGGCGCGCCUUUGUUUCUGGUUUAGUAGUACAAAAAGGAAUACUAAAAUAGAACUACCCUGCCACAUCUGAGGUUGUUUCUUUCAUUUCAGAUGAAAAAUCUGCCAAUGCCUCAAAAUCAUUUGCCUCUGCUGAACCAAGGGAAGAAGAUGCCGAUGCUGCCAUUGCUGAUCAAACGAGUGUACCACCGACAAAGGUUACCCGUCAGGUCACAAGCUCAACACCAGAUGCUAGUGACGCUUUAUCAAGAGAUCAGGAAUCUUCUCCAGACGAUUGUCAGAUCAGAAAUUUGGGAAGCCCAGUUAUCGCUAGCCAAGAAGACGCCUCUCGUGCUGGACGUGCUUCUGAAGGAUCUACUCCUAAAGUGCAUAGUGCCGUGGUAGAUGAGAAGAGGACACUUCCAUCUAGCCAGGCACAAACUUCAAGCACUGGGCCUGAUUCAGGACAAAUUGGCGGUGAUGCUCAUCUUAGUGGUGCUGGUAUGCCAGCCACAAGCUCUAUGGAGAAGCAAGAGGCAGAACCUCCUGCAGCAACACAAGCACCAACUCCCAAGGGUUUACAAGACACUGCAAAUAUCAAGUCACCAAGACAAACCUCAACUGAUCAAACCGUGACACCUGCGAUGAACUCAGCAGCACCGUCCGAAGCUCCUGAAGGUAUUGAACCAGGUGAGGCAAUGCCUGAUAAACAGAAAUUCACCUGACUAUUAAUUUCAGGUUAAUAUUCAGUACGCAUAGUUCUGCUGCUAAUAAGGCCGUUCCUCACAUUACAGGUCCAGAUUCUUCUCGAUCUGUACAGACCCCUUUCUCUACCGAGCCAACAAACGAAGACACUAUUGGUACUGCAGCUGAUCAAGCCGAGGACAUGCAAACAGUAACUCAACAACAAGCCUUUACACCUGAUCCAGACACAACUAAACCUUCAUUCCCAGGUGCUCAGGAUGCAUCAAGGAAGUUUCUGAAAAGUAUUCCUGAUGAUGGGCCAUUGGAAAAUUAUUCUCCUAAGCCUGCAACACAGACACAGCCACAUGAAGCAACUCUAGAUGUAUCACCGGAUGCCUCGAGUAAGGCUAAAUCAACUGGGCAAGGAUCCAAGCCACCAACAAGGUACCAAGCAUCUUCUCCGGAAACUCAGCUUGGUUCCUCACAAACACAAGGUGAAGCUGCCCCAGCAGAACAAAAAUUUGCUGUAACAGGUAAUGUUUUAGUACGUUUCCUGUUCGUUAACUAAUGGUGCGCCUUUGUUUCUGGUUUAGUAGAAAAACAGGAAUACUGAAAUAGAACUACCCUGCCACAUCUGAGGUUCUCUUUCAUUUCAGAUGAAAAAUCUGUCAAUCCCUCAAAACCAUUUGCCUCUGCUGAACCAAGGGAAGGUGUGGAAGCUGCCAUUGCUGAUCAAAUGAGUGUACCACCAACAAAUGUUACCCGUCAGGUCACAAGCUCAACACCAGAUGCUAGUCACGCUUUAUCGAGCGAUCAGGUUUCUUCUCCUGACGAUGGUCAGAUCAGAAAUUUGGGAAGCCCACUUAUCGCUAAAGACGCCUCUCGUGCUGGACGUGCUUCUGAAGGAUCUACUCCUAAAGUGCAUAGUGCCGUUGUAGAUAAGAAGAUGACACUUCCAUCAAGCCAGGCACAAACUUCAAGCACUGGGCCUGAUUCAGGACAAAUUGGUGGUGAUGCUCGUCUUAGUGGUGCUGAUAUGCCAGCCACAAGCUCAAUGGAGAAGCAAGAGGUGGAACCUCCUGCAACAACACAAGCACCAACUUCUAAGGGUUUACAAGAUACUGGAAAUAUCGAGUCACCUAGACAAACCUCAACUGAUCAAACUGUGACACCUGCGAUGAACUCAGCAGCACCAUCCGAUACUCCUGAAGGUACUGAACCAGGU